UCGACUGUUGCCCAGAUUAUCUUGACCUUUUCUUGCUCGUUUUCAUCUGGGAUCUUCUUGAUUGGACUUGUAUCUACAUAUUUGCCUCCAAAACACUCUAUAUCCUCCUCCUAACUCGGAGUAACUCCUGAAAAGCAUAAAAACCUCAACUAGAACAUUUUGUUAUCAUUUAGCACUUAAAACAUCAAUAAAGUAUGGUUAAUUUAGAGCAUAAAUAGCAUCUACAUCGCAUAAUAUAGGCUACUAUAAACAACCCACACUUAAAUCAUUGCUCGUCCUGGGGUAAUCAAACUACACUUUAUGCAGACACGACCUUUCUAAACAAUUCUCUUAACUCGUCACACCAAGAAUAUUUAAAAUAGACUAAGCACAAAAGCGUAACAUCUUUACCUCAAGAUUAGACUCACAAGCACCGCGUAUUAUUCACAACUCACCCACUUACUCUAACAUAGAGGUCAGUGACAUUACUUUUCCUUCAUGAAUCAAGUCACACAAUAAAAGAGAGUAGUUCCACACAGUAAAAUUUAAGAACACUUAGGAACUCAAGAUAAAAGAAUUCACUCACUAUCAGAAAUAACAUUCGUAUGCCACAAAAGAUGCACCAUAAGCUUUCCUGUAUAGUACUACUCCACUAAUCGAGCUCAUUCAAUCUAGGAUAAAUUAGGAAUUUAUUUGGUUGUGAUGUAGGAUGCGGGAGGGGUAAGAUACAUUUAGAUAUAAGAGUGACUACACCUCCCUAAGCACUUUAAUACAUAUACAUUAAAACUCAAACCCCAUACUUAUGUCAAACCAAACUCCACCUUAUAUCAAGAGUUACCACUAUCAAAGAAUAUAUUUUAUAGCAAUACAACUAUAUUUGUUUUCUUUUCUUUUUCAACUCAAGUGGCUCUUACUUGUUCAAAUCAGUGCACCCUUUCUCCUUAUUUCAUUAAUUCCACUCAAAAGUCAAACCAACCACCCCACACUUUAACUUUUACAAAAUUCAUAACAAUUCAAGUGCUCACGGGAGGUGGAAAAGUUCAAAUAGAUUGUUAAUUCAAACAAAGAGAUAAGACUUGUAAUGUGGUCGCCAAAGAAAUAUGAUUACAGGCUCAAAGGGGUUAACUAUGAUACAUAACAAUUAGACAUAUAGAAUAUACAUAUCUGGGUCAAUACGAAAAUGCCUAUAUCACUUUCAAGACUGAACAAAACUACUAUUUUGCUUUGCAAACACAUGGGGCAAGUUCUAGGCAUAAAAUGCAAUGCAAAGAAUAACAACAAACCUCACACGCACAUGACACAUGACUCACUCAGGAUUGGUUUCAUCAAGACACUCUAGUCAAAACAGUUAAGCAAUGUUAUAAUCAUACAAUUUAAGGUACUUAUACAAGAGUCAAAAAUUGAGCCUAAGCGUCACAACCAAAGUACUCACUAUUCUCAAGGCAUAAUAAAGUCAAGAGAUAUUACUUCAUUUCAAACACAACAUAAUGAAUCUUAUUCCUAAAAAAACUAACGACGCAUGGUUCAAAUAAAACCUUUGGAAAAGAACCGCGGCACAAAUAAAAACCAAGGGGGAAUUGCUAUACUACCUAACAAAGGAAAAUCCUUUUUUAGACUUAAAUCCCUCAAGAAAAUUAUCUAAUAGACCCAUCAUUGGAAAAAGUUCAAUCAUUUUUAUUAAAAAAAUUACUCAAUUAAACUAACAUAACUAAAAUAGCAUAAAAAGUUACACAGACCAUCUCCUCACCCCACACUUAAAAUUGUGCAUUGUACCCAAUGCACACCAUAACCAAUAAAAGGGUAAAAAUGACUCCCUGGUAGUCCAAAGUCUGAAGCACUAACAGCUCAUGGGGUACUUAGAUCUCUCCCAAGUUUGGUCUUUCGUGCGGGUACCUCACACUUAGUUCCAACCAUUUGGUUUGAUGUUGCAUCCUUCCAAUACCUUUGCUUUUCAUGCUCCUAGAAAAUAAAAAAUUGACACUACAAAAAUAAUACAAUUAAAAAAAAUAAAGCAAUAAAGUUGGGUUUCCUCCCAACAAGCGCUUCAUUUGACGUCGCGGCAUGACGCGAAUCACUUCUUGCCUCCACCUUGAGUUUAUGAUUUGAACCCCCAAUUUGGCAUCAAGUUUUCGGCUAUGCUCCAGGGGUGGAGGAACAAAUCUAAUUGGCCCAAGAAACCAUUGUACUAUUCUACACAUCUUGGCUUUUAGAUGAGGUAUGUAGUCCUGUCUUUCUGGCAAGAAAAAUUCUAGAAUGUAGGAACCUUGUUCCUCAUUCCUUGACUCCUCAAUCGGCUUGGAUGAAUCUAUUUCCGUAUCAUCAUCCAAUCCCAAUAUGGAAAAAUGUUUGGAGCGAGGACCAAUUCACUCAAACACAUGAACUUCAGGACCUUCAACAUCCUCAACAUCAAUGAUACUAGAGUCAACCAAAUUUGUAUCCUCAAUGUCCAUGGCUGACUCUAAUAUCACUUCUGUAACAAUGACAUCACUAAAUUUUAGUUGGCUAGGUUGUUGAUGUUACUCUGACCUUCCCAAUUGACACCUCAAAUUCAUGAUCUUCUUGGAUACUAUCACCAAUAUUGGCUUGUUGAGUAUUAAAAGCUCCAACCACUUGACUCAAUUGAGCCUCCAACUUGCGAAUAGUUUCCUCUUGCCUCUCUAUCUGCAGUUGUUUCUCAUUAUUUUGUUCCAGAAGGCACAUUAACAUAUCCUUGAUCUCCUUCAGGUCCACAUCCCUAGGUUCUUUGUUCCUAUUAACUUAACAAGAAAAAAUAGAACCAUCAUAGUAAGGGGUUGCGGGAAGAUAAGAAAUAUAAGUACAAUCAUAAAAGCAACCAUUUUUACCACCACACACAUCACACAUAU
rnacentral:lncRNA from 1 species